GAUGAACGCUGGCGGCGUGCUUAACACAUGCAAGUCGAACGGAAAGGCCACAGCUUGCUGUGGUACUCGGGUGGCGAACGGGUGAGUAACACGUGGGUGAUCUGCCCUGUACUUCGGGAUAAGCUUGGGAAACUGGGUCUAAUACCGGAUAGGAAUCACAUGUGGGUGUGUGGUUGGAAAGCUUUUGCGGUAUGGGAUGAGCUCGCGGCCUAUCAGCUUGUUGGUGGGGUAAUGGCCUACCAAGGCGUCGACGGGUAGCCGGCCUGAGAGGGUGUACGGCCACAUUGGGACUGAGAUACGGCCCAGACUCCUACGGGAGGCAGCAGUGGGGAAUAUUGCACAAUGGGCGCAAGCCUGAUGCAGCGACGCCGCGUGGGGGAUGACAGCCUUCGGGUUGUAAACUCCUUUCGUCAGGGACGAAGCGAAAGUGACGGUACCUGGAGAAGAAGCACCGGCUAACUACGUG
rnacentral:rRNA from 1 species